GUAGUCCACGCCGUAAACUAUGGGUACUAGGUGUGGGAGGUAUCGACCCCUUCCGUGCCGCCGUUAACACAAUAAGUACCCCGCCUGGGGAGUACGGUCGCAAGAUUAAAACUCAAAGGAAUUGACGGGGGCCCGCACAAGCAGCGGAGCAUGUGGUUUAAUUCGAAGCAACGCGAAGAACCUUACCUAGACUUGACAUCUCCUGAAUUACCCGUAACUGGGGAAGUCCUUCGGGACAGGAAGACAGGUGGUGCAUGGUUGUCGUCAGCUCGUGUCGUGAGAUGUUGGGUUAAGUCCCGCAACGAGCGCAACCCUUAUCAUUAGUUGCUACCAUUAAGUUGAGCACUCUAGUGAGACUGCCCGGGUUAACCGGGA
rnacentral:rRNA from 1 species